rnacentral:rRNA from 1 species
AUUGAACGCUGGCGGCAGGCCUAACACAUGCAAGUCGAACGAGUGGCGGACGGGUGAGUCAUGUCUGGGAAACUGCCUGAUGGAGGGGGAUAACUACUGGAAACGGUAGCUAAUACCGCAUACCAUCGGAUGUGCCCAGAUGGGAUUAGCUAGUAGGGGGGGUAACGGCUCACCUAGGCGACUAUCCCUAGCUGGUCUGAUAGGAUGAACAGCCACACUGGAACUGGGACACGGUACAGACGCCUACGGGAGGCACCAGUGGGGAAUAGUGCACAAGGGACGCAAGCCUGAUGCAGCCAUGCCGCGUGGAUGAAGAAGGCCUUCGGGUUGUAAAGUACUUUCAGCGGGGAGGCGUUACCCGCAGAAGAAGCACCGGCUAACUCCGUGCCAGCAGCCGCGGUAAUAC